AGUGAACGCUGGCGGUAGGCCUAACACAUGCAAGUCGAACGGCAGCACAGUAAGAGCUUGCUCUUACGGGUGGCGAGUGGCGGACGGGUGAGGAAUACAUCGAAAUCUACUUUUUCGUGGGGGAUAACGUAGGGAAACUUACGCUAAUACCGCAUACGACCUACGGGUGAAAGCAGGGGAUCUUCGGACCUUGCGCGAUUGAAUGAGCCGAUGUCGGAUUAGCUAGUUGGCGGGGUAAAGGCCCACCAAGGCGACGAUCCGUAACUGGUCUGAGAGGAUGAUCAGCCACACUGGAACUGAGACACGGUCCAGACUCCUACGGGAGGCAGCAGUGGGGAAUAUUGGACAAUGGGCGCAAGCCUGAUCCAGCCAUACCGCGUGGGUGAAGAAGGCCUUCGGGUUGUAAAGCCCUUUUGUUGGGAAAGAAAAGCAGCAGGUUAAUACCCCGCUGUUCUGACGGUACCCAAAGAAUAAGCACCGGCUAACUUCGUG
rnacentral:rRNA from 1 species